UUCAUGAUUUAUAAUCAUGAAAGAUUAGAUGAAGCAACUUGAGGCAAGCUUAAAAUCAUAUCUAAUAGAUAUCUUUUCUUGUUACAUCCGUAGCAAGAUUUUCAAGUUGUUAGCCAUACAAAAAGUAAGCUAGAUUUUCAAGCUACUUGUGUGUAGUACUCUGGUUUUCAGGUUUAAUUCUUCUUACAUGUAUCUGUUGUUGUAUUUAAAAAAGCAUCCAGAUCAAUGACUUCAUAUGAUAUUUUCCUGCAUUUUUGUUUAUGUACAAAAAGGGAAAUUUUCCUACAACUUCAACCACGUAAUCCGUAGUUUGUUGGUUUGUUUCUAAUAAUAUGCGUGAUCUUUUUCCUUUGAAGUUCGAACCUUUUGAUUUUAGGGAUGUCAUUUAUAAAGAUAUGGGAGAUAUUUUCAGUUCUUUGGCACUUCUUGCUUCUGGAAACUACGCACAGGUGGUGACGAGCAGAUGAAUGGUGACAGUAAGAAGAGGAGGAUAUGGGGACAUUCGACGGUGGCGGCGGCCGAUAUAAUCGUGCCUAUCAUCCUCAAGUUCUCCACCUAGAAGGGCGCCGUUAUGUAAGCGUGGUCCUAUCUGGAUAUUCAUUUCUCCUUGUUCAUCUGCUUCAAUUGUGUUGUGCACUAUAGGGUAUAUUAUGUGCUAUAUCGAUUCAGCUACUAGCUAACGAGUGCAUACUGGCUGGUGUACAAAUUUUAGAAUAUUUGGACUACAUCAAUCUCUUAAAGAAUUUUAUGAUGUUAAAAAUUCACCAUAGUUCCUUCGCUGCGCUCCUCAUUCGGUCUAACACCUCACCACCUGUAACUGGUGUGGCAGUAGCAGUGGGAGCAGAGCAGUCGGCGGGUUCCUGGCUUACCUGCCUCACAACAAGGCGGGCACGGCUGGGCUAGGCAGCCUGGACAUCCAGGAUUCACAAGUCGUGGUCCACUCCUGCUCGGAACGCUACAUGUUGGCAUUAUUAUAAACUCCCCCCUCCCUCACACACACACACACACACACACACACAAGACAACCCUCCAACAAAUCAGUGGGUCGAUCUUGUGUGAAAACUCCUUCAGGGAUAAUACAAAUUUCUGGUUAUUGUGACAGCUAAAGGUUUACACUGGUCAUUACGAAAAUAUUGUCUGCUCGAGUUGGUGAAAUGAAGGUUGUGGAUUAAGUGGAAUUGUAAUGUACACAUUAUUGGUUGCACCUAUAACAUUUUUGGUAAAUUGAUAUUACAACGAGCAACAAUUUUCAGAGCAAAGAAUAUUAUAUGUUCUAGCAAUGGUUUACAAAUCCCUUUUUGUAGAGGAUACUUUGCUUUAUUCAAUGCAGGAAAUAUUUUAGUCCUUACUAGCUCCGUACUGUUGUAAGCACACUGUUCUUUUUGUUCAGUCCAAAGGUUGGUGAACCACAUGUUAAACUUCCAUUGGAAGCCGUAUUACAAAUACCUAUCAUGCAACCAGUUGUUGUACUUUCUUCUUCACUAAUAUUAUUUUAUGAAUUUUUCUAAACCUGGAAGAAGCUUCCGCUAUGAUGUUGUUUGAACCUGAAAAAAGCUUGUACUGCAUUGAUAACUGAACCUGAAAAUUGCUGCAUCCUAUAUACAUUGGUAGAGUAAAAAAUAACUUGAUUUAUGUAGGACUUGUUUUGGAUUAAGUGGAUAGGUGAUGCACUAUUCUUGAUUGCAGCUGGUGCUUUUUUGGUAAUUUGAUAACACCACGAGCAGCAAUCGAGUUUGAAAGCCAGAAAACAUACAAAACAUGUAAAUGGGAGUACUGCCAGUUUAGGAGCCAAGUAACCAUUACUAGAGUAAUCAAUCUGAGAAAUGAUUAGUUGAGGAAAUUGAGUAUUAUUGUACUUCUCGACAAUGAAAUGGUCUUUUUUUUGUUCUAGGAAACGUUGGAGGUAGAAUCAGCUUCAAGCUCGAGUACCCAAUGGUAGAGAAGUAGAAAGGAGGCACAAGAUGGAACUAUGAACUCCGGUAGUAACAUUUUUAUUUCACCAAGUUAGGUUAAUGAUGUUCAGCUUAAUGGACAACUCUACAGACACUUAGUAGAACACAAGCUUUUGUUGUUGACUUCAAUAUAAGGUGCCCUAUGUACUAUUUUUAAGGUGUCAUGCUUCCCAAGAGAAUAUAUCUACAUGUAAAGAACUAGCUAAAUGAACUGGCUCAUCAAUUUCAAUCUAAAUGAACUAGCUCAUAAGCAUUCUUUGAUUUUGCUUCAUUAGUUUUGUUGUAGCAUAGUUCCAUUAAUAUUUGUGAUACUUAUUUUCUGUAUUAUUUACAAUUUUCAUUUAGCAAAGUGAUGUCCCUCUUGAAUAAUCAUAUGCUGCUAUCAGUUCAGACAUUGCACUUAGCAAAUUUAAUCUUUUAUGAGAUUAGAU
rnacentral:lncRNA from 1 species